UCAAAUUCAGAAGUCAGUUUGACAUUUAACUACUUUUUUUUUUUUGCUUACAAGACAUUUAACUACUUAUGAUUGUAUUUUUCAAUUCUUUUCUAUUUUCCAUUCAAAAUAAAAAUAGUUUUCAGUUGUCGAUGGACGUAUAUCUAUAUAAAUAUAUUUUGUCAAGUUUCCAAACCAACUGUAAAUGUUCUUCCUACAACAAUAAUAUUUGAAAUUUUUUAGUUAACAAUACAAAAGAGAAACUUAGCCCGUUUUGCAAAACAGGUGAAAAAUGGUCAAAAAGUGUGUUUGGUAACGUUUUUGAAAUAGAAAUUUAAUACAAUGGGAUAUAGGUAAUCAAGUACCUUAAACUUUAUCGAGGUUAACACAUUGCAUCUUAAAUUUUUUUUUCUUGACAUCAGGCAUCUCAAACUUCCUUUUUGCUUGUACUGUUAGUUUUUCUGUUAAAAAUACAUAACGGUAUGAUCAGGUGCCUCGCACGUACUCAUUAAAUGAUGAUAAAUUAGGUAAUUUUACUAUUCUCAAUUUAAAAAUUAUGAUUUUAUUUGAGGAAUUUUUUCAUUGAAAUCCAUUCUCCUUCUUCUUCUUCUUCUUCUUCUUCCUUUCACAUCCAUGUUUGUUCUCUUUCAUUCCUCAUCUUUUUCACUCCCCACGUGCUCUUUCAAACCCAAAACCCCUUCUUUUUGUUUUUUUUCUUCUUCUUCCAAUCUACCACUCUCAAUAACACCAACAAUCUCAAAGCCAUGAGGAAAUGAAGUUCUCUCUCUCUCUCUCUCCUCUUUUGUCUAUGUCCUCUUUUUUUUAUGUACUCUCUCUCUCUCUCUCUCUGUAACUCUCUUUGUCUCUUUCUCUCUCUAACUUUUUUUUCCCCUCAAAUUUAUUCCUCCACAUUUCUUAAGUUCUAAACAGAGCCUAAAAAUUAUAAAAUUACUUAAUCUAUCCUCAUUUGAUGAGCACAUGUGGGGUACUUGAUCAUUCCGUUAUGCAUUUUUAACAGAAGAACCAACGGUGCAAGCAAAACGGAAGUUUGGGAUACAAAAUAUCAGAAAAAAAAAAUUUAAGGUGCAAUGUAUCAAACUCGACAAAGUUUGAGGUGCUCGGUUGCUAAUAUCCCUAAAACAAUUGAAAGUAUUUUUGAAAAUAUAGGUAAAUUUAAAAAAUAUAUAUAUAUUUUACAUGUAUUUGAAAAAUUUUAAAAACAAAUAUAUUAUAGAGAAUAUAUUAUAUUUAUCAUUUUUAAAUUUAAAAAAUAUUUAUUUACAUAAAUAUACUGCAUUUAAUAUAUAUCAUAUAUAAAUAUGGAUAAUCUUUACUGUAUUCAAUAAUAACUUCUUCUUUUUUGUCAAAUUGUAUUUUAAUACCUCUAUUUUUAUUGAACUUUUAUUUAAGAGGUUCUAAAAACAAUUUCGACAAUUGUUAUCUCUAGGAGUGAUCCCCUUCAAUUUAUUUUUCCUUUUAAAAAACUUUAAUAGCCUUAUUUUUCUUUCUUAUAAUAUUUACAGUGCUACUUUCAUUUUUCAAAAAGGUUGUGUUAAGUUCAUUUUUUAUUAAAUUAGUUUCCAUAGAAAAGUUAGUUUAUUUUCUUCUGGUUAUUCAUAAUAUUUAAUUUGAUGGGCUAGUUUUAAUUUAGUUGACAUAUUUAAUAAUUAAUUUAUUAUUUAAGUAUUUUUAUCUUUUGUUAAUUUUAUUUCUUCAUUUCAUUUUUUUUUUUAAGAUUUUGUUAAUUCUAUAAUUUUAUUUUGCCUUAAAAAGCAUGUUUAUUUUCUAUUAACAAUUGUUUAUGUGUUCUUAUUUACGAUAAUAAUUUAAACUUUAACAAAAAAAUAAUACUACAGGUAUCAAAUUUGUUUAUUAAAAUUUUGAUAAUCAAUUAUAUAUUAAUUUUUUAAUAAUAUUAAAUUGAUAUUUUUUUAUAUUUAUGGAAAGAUAAAGCACUUAAAAAAUACUAAAUCAUAAAUAUUAAAAUUUUAAUAAAUAAAUUUAAUCAAUUUAAAUUUAUCCUUUACAAAAAAGAAUUUAUAGUUUAAGUAUAUAGUCCCCCUUCCUGAAAUCUUUUUUUUAAGAUCCGACACCGUUUUCUAUUACUGAAAACUAUUCUGUCAAAUAAUAUGAUCAUGUGAUACUCAAGUGAUCAAUUAGUUAUUUUAUUUUUAUUUUUCUUUUAAUUUUUGGAAUUGGUUUUAGGGGAAAAAAUAAAAAUAAUAAAAUAAAAUAAAAUAAAAUAAGCACCGUUUCUUCUCAACUCCUUCUCCGUCUUCUUCUUCUCCACCGGUUGAAUGUCGCCGUUCGAAUCCAACUCCCUCAGAAAAUUCGGUAUUAUCGAAGGCUAUACGAACCCCACAACCACCGUUACUUUUGAGAGUGACAUGCAAAAGCUUGUAGUAAUCUUGUCGUCUUUCCCAGCCGUGCCCCAAUUUCAGCAAAGCAAAGCGUGUUCAAGCAGACGAAGAUAGCUUAGCAGAUAGAUGUUUCUUGUCUAAGGGAAGGAUUCAAUCGUCCAGUCCAUAAUGAGAGAUUCAAGUGGUUUGAAUAUCUACAUCUACGCCUGAUGUGAACCCCAACCUAGUUUGAAUGGGAAUCCAUCCUCAACUUUAUUAUUUUCAAAUCUUGAAAGAUUUAUUUAUUUAUUUAUUUAUUUCAAUUUACAUUUUUCAUGUUCUAUUUUCACCUAUAUGCUGUUUGGAUAUGGAAUUGGAAUACUUCUUUUGCAAUCUGAAGACCCUGCGAACAUGCCCAAGAAAAACGAAAUUAAUCCAUCAUUCCAAAAGGAAGAAGACGGAGAAGGAGGAGGAGCAGAUAAGAAGGUUUUGGUGUUUUUGAUUUUUAUUUUUUAUUUUUUCCUCAAAACAAUUCAAAAAAAUUAGAAGAAAAAUAAAAGAAAAUCAAAAUCAAUUAAUUGAUACGCGAGUAGCACAUGAUCAUCGUUUUAACGAAAUCUGUGUGGUUUUCAGGAAAUUGAUAAUAGAAACUAGCAAUUGUCAAAAAAAAAUUUAUAGCCUCCUAAAUCAAAAAAAAAUAUAUAUAUAUAUAUAAGAUAUCAAAAGUACAUCUUGGAUUUUUUUUUUUUCUAUAUCAAUAUAUAUUUGGAUAAUUGCACAUUUUUACUUUCUAAAAUCACUUUGAUAUUAUUUUGGUUCAGAGGCUGCUCAAUUUUUUUCUCAACGAUGUCUCUUAUUUUUAAAAUCAUUAUAAAUUGAUCAAAAUCUGUUAAAAUUAAUAAAAAUAAUAAAAAUUGCACUUAAAUAUUUUGUAUUUUUAUUUGUAUUUGCCCUAUAUAUAAAAAUUAUUUGAUCACCUUUUCUAUAGGUUGUUACGUUUUUCUUUUUUCUUUUUGAAUAUUAUAAUAUGUACAUAUUAUUAUUUAAUUUUAUAUUUUGUAAAAGUAUAUUUCAUAUUAUUAUUUAGUUUCCCAACUACCCCUACUUCAAAUUUAUGAUUUAUAUUCCUAUAUUUUUCAUCCAAUAUAGAACUCAUAGGACGGACACAAAAAAAAAAAAAAAAAAAAAAAACAAAACAAAAAACAAAAAACAAAAAAAACAAAAAAACAGAGAACCCCAAAAUCAAAUCCCUCGUACACUCUUCCAAUUCCAGCUUUAAACCGCAAAAUCAUAUAUAAAUGCUCUAGAAUAUUGGUUAAUGUAUGGAAUCAAAAAUUAGAUUUAAAAAAAAAAAAUUCAGUUUUUUCACCAUCCAAACAUAUUUUACCUUGUUUUUCUCAUCAUCCAAACAAGUACACAAUUUCUAAAUCUUCAUCAUAAAUCGAACAUCAAACCCUCCCAAACACAAGAUGCACAAACUUCUUACCUUCUUGCCCACUUUCAAAAUCCAUUUUCUACUAUUUAAAAUUUCUUUUAGAUGUAAAUGGAAACAAAAAUCAUGUAUGCAAAUAAUUUUCUUCCUCAUAAUAGUGCAAAUACGUAGUUAUUGGAUCCAUGCCCUUUCCCUCACCACUGUUACUAUUUUACCCUCUAUCAUCUUAAUAGUCUUCUUCUAAUUUUUAGAAUCCUGGUUUAAAAAAAAAAAAAAAAAAAAAUUGGAAACAAAGAAGAAAGGGAAAUCCAGAAAUGGAAGGAGAAGGAAUGAGUUUGGGACUUGGGAAAAAACGAGAUCCAAGAAGAAGAGAAGAAGAAACUAGAAAGAGGAAGAGGGACUAUAUAGUGACUAUACAAUAGCUGCAGUACAAUAAAGAUAUUUUAACACAUGCAACUGAACUGUGAGACAGAAAUACUUGGCAUUGAUCAUUGUAUUAAUAUAUAAAGAUAUCUAUAGUUAUCAACAGCUAUCAUA